GACCCCGUCGUCCAGUCGGUCAGGACACCAGUCUUUCAAGCUGGUAACGGGGGUUCAAAUCCCCUCGGGGUCACCU
rnacentral:tRNA from 1 species